AACGAACGCUGGCGGUGUGCCUCAUACAUGCAAGUCGUACGCGAAUCCUGCCGCAAGGCAGGGUUUGAGUGGCAAACGGGUGCGUAACACGUAGGUAAUCUUCCUUUGAGUUGGGGAUAAGCCCUCGAAAGGGGGUCUAAUACCGAAUAACACUUCGGGCCGGCAUCGGCCUGAAAUUAAAGAUGGCCUCUGCUUGCAAGCUAUCGCUCGGAGAUGAGCCUGCGGCCGAUUAGUUAGUUGGCGGGAUAAAGCCCACCAAGACUUCGAUCGGUAGCCGGUCUGAGAGGAUGUCCGGCCACACUGGGACUGAGAUACGGCCCAGACUCCUACGGGAGGCAGCAGUAGGGAAUAUUGCGCAAU
rnacentral:rRNA from 1 species